UACAAAGGGGGCUAGCGUUGCUCGGAAUCACUGGACGUAAAGCGCGCGUAGGCGGAUUGCCAAGUCGGGGGUGAAAGCCUGGAGCUCAACUCCAGAACUGCCUUCGAUACUGGCAAUCUCGAGUCCGGGAGAGGUGAGUGGAACUCCUAGUGUAGAGGUGAAAUUCGUAGAUAUUAGGAAGAACACCAGUGGCGAAGGAGGCUCACUGGCCCGGUUUUGACUCUGAGGCGCGAAAGCGUGGGGAGCAAACAGG
rnacentral:rRNA from 1 species